rnacentral:rRNA from 1 species
CAGUCGCCACGGGAAUACGGAGGGGGCUAGCGUUGUUCGGAAUUACUGGGCGUAAAGCGCACGUAGGCGGCUUGGUAAGUUAGAGGUGAAAGCCCGGAGCUCAACUCCGGAAUUGCCUUUAAGACUGCCGAGCUAGUAGGUGAGAGAGGUAAGUGGAAUUCCGAGUGUAGAGGUGAAAUUCGUAGAUAUCCGGAAGAACACCAGUGGCGAAGGCGGCUUACUGGCUCAUUCUAGACGCUGAGACGCGAAAGCCAGGGGAGCGAACGGGAUUAGAUACCCCUGUAGUCCCUGUCUCUUAUAC